rnacentral:rRNA from 1 species
AAAAGAACUUUGAAGAGAGAGUUCAAAAGGGCGUGAAACCGCUUAGAAUAAAACGGACGGAGCCGUCGGUAGCCUUCGGGAAUCAGUCGUAUUAGAGAUGAACCCGUUAUCGAUCGCCGGAACGCAAGUCCGGUCGGUGCGGCGAAUCUUAGUAGUCUCGAGGCGACGCAUUUCUCGAAGGUAAGCGCCGCGACCGAUACGAUAGGCCGACGACGCGCUUCAGUUGAGGUCGACCGAUCGCAAGAUCGGUCGUAACCAGCUGGUUGCGCCGCACAUGCGUCGGACCGCAGUAUGUAUCGAGCGCCCGCGAAUCAUGAACACCGGCCCUGCGCGGCUCGUCGGAGCGACGGAUAGUCGAUCGAUUAGACCCGGCUUGCGUGCCAAGUCGGGACGAACUCGGUCGGCUCAGAAAUCGCCGGCGAUUUUCGGUGUUCGGGCGUCCGCGGCGUCAGCGUCGGUCACCCGUCCGACCCGUCUUGAAACACGGACCAAGGAGUCUAACAUAUGCGCGAGCCAAUGGGUGUUUAAAACCUACGGGCGCAAUAAAAGUGAAGACUAUCUAAUAGAUGGUUAAGGUACGAUCCUCGGCCCGUUAAACGGUCGCAGGCGCAGUACCGUCCCGUCCUAAUCGUUUAUCGAUAGGGCGGAGACAGAGUGCAUACGUUGGGACCCGAAAGAUGGUGAACUAUGCCCGAGCAGAGCGAAGCCAGAGGAAACUCUGGUGGAGGUUCGUAGCGGUUCUGACGUGCAAAUCGAUCGUCAGAC